rnacentral:rRNA from 1 species
GGCGAAUUCUGAUGCANCGACGCCGCGUGGGUUNAUGACGGCCUUCGGGUUGUAAACCCCUUUCAGUAGGGAAGAAGCGAGAGUGACGGUACCUGCAGAAGAAGCGCCGGCUAACUACGUGCCAGCAGCCGCGGUAAUACGUAGGGCGCAAGCGUUGUCCGGAAUUAUUGGGCGUAAAGAGCUUGUAGGUNGCUUGUCGCGUCUGCCGUGAAAACCCGAGGCUCAACCUCGGGCGUGCGGUGGGUACGGGCAGGCUAGAGUGUGGUAGGGGAGACUGGAACUCCUGGUGUAGCGGUGAAAUGCGCAGAUAUCAGGAAGAACACCGAUGGCGAAGGCAGGUCUCUGGGCCAUUACUGACACUGAGAAGCGAAAGCAUGGGUAGCGAACAGGAUUAGAUACCCUGGUAGUCCAUGCCGUAAACGUUGGGCACUANGUGUGGGGGACAUUCCACGUUUUCCGCGCCGUAGCUAACGCAUUAAGUGCCCCGCCUGGGGAGUACGGCCGCAAGGCUNAAACUCAAAGGAAUUGACGGGGGCCCGCACAAGCGGCGGAGCAUGCUGAUUAAUUCGAUGCAACGCGAAGAACCUUACCAAGGCUUGACAUGCACUGGACGGCUGCA